CAGAAGUACGCGGCUUUGUGCCUCCCUCCUCGCGCUGCCACUGCCACCCUGCCUCCCACUCUCGGCAGGGCCGCUCGGCGUGAAGGAGAGCGUCUUCGAUUUCUCCGAUGAAAGCAGUCUGCAGGGCAGGAUACUGUGAUCCCUCCACACACAGAUGUAAUGGAUGUGCACUGGAAAUUACAGCCUGUCACGACCUGCCAGGUGGACCAGCCCACAGAGAGGGUGCCCCGCUCAGCCAGUUGGAGGCAGGACUCUGUCCAGGCUUGACGGCGCUGGCCUGCGGGCGAUUGGCUUCUCCAGGCAAGCUCCGGGUUCACACACCAGGAUCAAUCUGCACACAGCCAGCGUCCACCCGCAGGAGUCUGCAGCAGCCCGAGUGUUCGGUCUUGAUCAGGGCGAGGUUACAGUGGAGCGCCACGUGGAGCUGAGCAGAGCUAGCCGACAUAACAGCCGACCUGGCUGAUACUUUGGACUGCCAGUGCCUGAUAAGCAUUCUCCCUGAGCUCUUUGCCUUCAAAUGUUUCUUUUACUAGCAGAGCCAGUCAUUUAGAAGUCAGAUUCACCUAAGUGAGCUUCAUUUCAUGCCAGUCGGAGAAGAUGUGCAGACUGACUGACUGGUGCAUUGUUCCAGCAGGUGCACUGUACUAUAACCUCCGUCUGUAUUUGAUUUGCCCUGAUUGCAGAAAAUAUGUUAUUGAUCCUCCCAUUUGUUUCCCUUCUUUGUAAUUUGUCUUUUGUUUCAACCUUACUGUCACCAGACAGUAGUUCUGGUCAAAUUUGCAUUUCUGAACUGCAGGUGUGAUUGCAUCUUCACGGCAAGAGCACAACUAUUAGUGUCCUUUAGCAGAUACAUGCUAGGAAAAUAUUUGAGCUUUGCUCAUCCAAGUCAAAUAAUUGGGAAAGGGGUGUGGUUUAUCAACACAGUGCAAUGACGGUUUACAUGGAAAGCAGAGAGAACAGGAUGAAAAGCUGGCAACUUCACUGGUACUGAGGCACCACGCAGCCAGCAGGGAACAGCUGCAACAGCUCUCUGCUGGCUGCUUGGGGUAGCAAAUGUCACCUGAAUUAUGCAAUGGAUAGUUUGAAACUGUGGCAGUGGGCUACUCUGAGCUGGACUGGACUGGUAUUGCAGGACCUUCUUCGUUUAACACUGGAGAAAACAUAUGAUGGACUAUUCACCAACUGGAGGCUAGGUGUUCACCAAAAAAGAAAACUUUCAAUAUCAAUUUUAAAAGAUGCUUUACGAAAACCAUGAGUUAAGUCAGAUUAGCUAAGGCAGAAAUCUAC